GGGCGUCCUGGCGGGGCUCGCACGUGCCGGUGACGGGCACGACGAAGGCGAGCGAGCCGGCGUGCUGCCGAUCGUCGUGGAAGGCGCUCA
rnacentral:tRNA from 1 species